rnacentral:misc_RNA from 1 species
AAGAGUUGCAAAACUCCAACCCCUGUGAACCUUACCUGUACGUUGCUUCGGCGGCCGACGCCACGCCCGGCCGGGCCUGGGGGACGCCGCCGGAGGUCUUAAACCCUGAAUUCUAGUGUAUCUCUGAGGAUGAAAAGAACCAAUCA